UAGGUGAAAGAAUAAUUUCUACUGUGCAUUUAUUUACAGUUGGUCACGUGCUGAACAAGCACUACAAUGGACAGCUGUAUGAAAUCGAACGGUCCUAACUAAAUCAAACAUAAUUUGAUGAAUGGUCUUGAUCUUUAGAUGGGCUUUGCACUUGGACGGCUGAGAUGCAAUUCUUCAUUAAAGAGAAAAUAAGAAAAGUCUUUAACCAAACCAAAAUCUGUAUCUGCUUCGUUAAGACCAAAGUUCACUGGGUUACAUCUUUGGUCUCCUCUUCUUCUUCCUCUAAAGUUCUUUCAGCCAUGGCGUCUAGUAGUACAGCUCCAACAAGAGCAACGUGAGGAAUUGUUUGUACGCUUUUACCGUCAGGCUCUAAAUCGAGAAUAUAGAGCGCAAAAUCACAGAGAACUUGGAAAGCAAAUUAAUCAAAAGGAAGUCGCAUAAAAGUGAGUAAAGGAAGGUAAGCAAUGCAUCAUUUCAUGGAAUGAUGAGGAAAGUAAUAGCUUGUGGUAGAAUCUAGCAAUGAAACUAAUUCUUACCGAUUUAUCAUAACAUUCUUGUAAUUUUCAUCUUGUUGACUGUUGUUUUCCCCUUGAUCCAGACUCUAUUAUGUUAGUUUUAUAUGGAAAGAAUUUUCUAUAAUCCAAAAAAUACAUUCAAUUUCGACGACCCGUUGUAAUGUCAUCAAUCAUUGCAACUUUAGUAACCCAUUGUAAUGUCAUCAAUCAUUGCAACUUUAGUAACCCAUUGUAAUGUCAUCAACCCUUGCAACCUUACCUUUCAUUAAUUAGUUACUUUAGGUUUUUCUUCUUAAUCUGUAUAAUAAGGUAUUUAAAAGGGGUAAAAUAGUAAUU
rnacentral:lncRNA from 1 species